rnacentral:lncRNA from 1 species
GAAAGGGACUGAGGAGGCGGAGAAACAGCCUAUCAGGGUUAAAGGCAUGCACCAUCAUGUCCCGCCUUUCUCUGCUUUGUAUUACAAUGUAUCUGUCCGGUUUACCUGUGGGGAACCGAUGGAUGGAUAACCCCUAUAGGAUCAUCGGGGACCAGGCUUUCACCCUAACACUUCCAGUAACAAUCUUACCAUGAAGAAAGCAGUAGCUCCUUUCCUGCCAAAUCCUGAUCGCAGGAGUGCUAUGACUCAGCACAGCCAAUUAAACUAACCAUCACCCUGGAGCUGCCUCCUAAACUCUGCUCUUCCCCUCAGUGGAACAUCAGCCAGCCAGGACUGUCCUCAUUUGCAUGCUGGGAAUUGCGUGGUGGGACCCGAGGAAGGCGGAGAGUUCCUGAAUAAGCAAUGUCCCAGCCUGUCUCAGGGCAGACAACUCUUUUGUGACUGCCUUGCCUGCUCC